GCGACCUCGCGAUGGCCACGUGCCAUCAGCUUAGCGUCAUGGCGUGCCUCGCGGCGGGGCACAGGCGCACAGCCCAGGAUGGGCUCACCGUGUUUGCUAGCUCUGGGUGCCUACUGCCGAGCGAGAGUGUCCUAGCGGUGUGCGCUGGCUUAGGUUGUGCGCGACGGCGUGCGCGAUGACGGCUUCCUGAACGGCACCAGCUGCUCCAAAAGUGGCUCGCCUGCAGCAAUGUCGUCGGACAAGCCGGUGACCGAGGUCCGGUAACGACACCCCUAUCGACGUCGCCCACAUUAGCGGCACGGUCCAGGCCGGCGUGCUCGACGACGGUGCCGUGAUGACGGUGCUCGUCUCAGCAGGCGUUGCUGCUCGGCGGUGCAGGUCAAGGACGGUGAACAAAGCGGAUACGGUGAAUCUUCUUGGGAUGUGGCCGCCGCCGUUGUUGCUGUUACCGCACAGGCUAACGCUAAUUCUUCAUUGCUCCACCUGAUCCUACACCGCUCGCAAGGACUGCUGCUGAUUGCCUGUGCUCAAAAGUUAAAACACAAAUUGAGCUUCCCCCCUCUCCCACCUGAGCUUCCAAUAGCAUCCUCUUCGUCGUGGUGUCAAUGAAGGUAAGCUUAAUAGUCCAUCCAUCAGAUCUUAUGGACCACUGAAUUUUUGCACCUGAAGGUGUCCAUCACCUUGAACAUUUACUUGUGCUCUCAUGUAUAUCAGGUUCAACUGAGGACAAUGGUUGAAAGCUACGCAUCUUGCUUGAUUUUAUUUUUGUAUGUCCGAAUAGUAUAUCGUCAUUAAUUUAAGACCAUUGUUAUGAGAUAUUAUUUGAAAUGUUCAUUUGUUCGUCAGCAAGGCGCACAUACUGUGUUCGACGAUGAGAACCCAAUCCCGACUUGUUGUGCAUACCCUGCUUGCAAGAGAGCACCUUUGCAUGUCUAAUUCAUUUCCUGUAAGUUUCUAUGCUAGCAAAGUGGCAAGGUGCAAUCACACUCGGAAGUUGUAUUGGUCAAGUGGAAGAAAAGGAAGUAUCAGGCUCUGAUCCUCACUGCUUAGCUUUUCUAGAGAGGGUCAAAAGAUUUUUUGUUCUGGAACAUUUUUGUAUUUGGUGAAACCUUGGACAGAAGACCCAAUCCUGAGCUUCAUUUUCAGUUUAGCAGUGCCCGUGUGCGGUAAUGUUGCUUCGUUGAAAAGAUAUGGACAGUAGAGGCUAAGGAAAUUUUGCUUUGACAGAACACAAAGAGAAAAGGGGGAUAGAAACAGAAGUUUGCUGGCCUGGUACAGUAUUUAACUUAUUGGUUGGUGCUGUUUUUCUAAACCAGCUUACAUGCAGGUUUUUUUUUUCUCCUGAAGGAGUUAUAAGUAUGCUAACUUAACAUCAGUGGUGUUGCUGCAAACAUCAUAUUCUCUCCUACAGUUCUUUUUUUUUGUCUGAUACGUUUAGAAUUACAACUUGACAAUAAGCAUUGUCGAGACAUUUAAACAGCACUUACGGCCGAAUAAAGAAAAGAUGCAGGAAGCCGAAGGGAAGAUGACUUUCCCAGACACAUGAUCACUUGUCUUUACAGAAACGCAGUUUGCCUAUUUGCUUCUUCAGUGUUGGACUUUGUGCGCCUCAGAUGGCUGGUAAUCCGCCCAAUUUUGCUUCAGAUCCAGGUUAGCACUUUAGCGGUUCCUCUCAAUGUUUUUGGGCACUUUUUUUUAUUGACACGACCCAUAGAUGUAGUUUCUGGCCUGUGUUUAUUGCCACAUUUUCUCAAUAUUAGCAUUAUUCCACUAUACUGUUUCUGAUGUGAAUGCAUGACUGAAAAAUACAUAUGGUUGUCGUUAUGGAACUUCGAUAUGUUUCAUGUGGUCAUAAAUUGAAGAAAAUUCCUAUUAUUUUAUCACUAGUUUAUCGCUGUUUCUUAUGUAGUACUCCCUCCGUCCCAUAAUAUAAGACGUUUUUUGACACUAAAUAGUGCAUUAUGGGACGGAGGGAGUAAUUCCUAUGGUUUCUGCUACAAAACUUUGCCUUGCCCAGACCAGUAUGAAGGCACGAUGGUUGUGCGGCCUCUGCCUCCCGGGAGCUCGUGGCAGCCGGGAGCCUCUACUUCCCACUUGGAAAGAGAGACAGGUGGCGUCUCGGAAUAGUAGACGCGCAUUGGUUGAAAAAUGGAACCUUGAACCGGACCAAACAGGAAGCAGAGAGGGGGGAGAAGAAGAAGCCGGAGGCGAAAGGGAUAGGUGGGCAGAGCCGCAGAGAGAGCAAUCCCCAAAAGCUACCCUCUUCCUUCUCCUCCACAGAACUCGAUUGCCAGGCAUCUUUACUCUGUGCUGCUUCUCCCGUGGACUUGGCCCAUGGACCAUGCUUGUAGCAAUUUUAUUCUCUUUAUUAUUUUUUGGACCUGUGAUAUAGUAGCAGUGUUGAGAAUAAGGAUCUCACGAGAAUAAUGUGCUCGAUUUUUUAUGAGUCAACCCGA